rnacentral:rRNA from 1 species
GGGAGGAGGAACAACAGGGAUUGCCUCAGUAACGGCGAGUGAAGCGGCAACAGCUCAAAUUUGAAAGCUGGCUCCUCCGGGGUCCGCGUUGUAAUUUGCAGAGGAUGCUUCGGGUGCGGUGCCGGUCUAAGUUCUUUGGAACAAGACGUCAUAGAGGGUGAGAAUCCCGUAUGUGACUGGUUGCCUGCGCUCAUGUGAAGCUCCUUCGACGAGUCGAGUUGUUUGGGAAUGCAGCUCUAAAUGGGUGGUGUACUUCAUCUAAAGCUAAAUAUUGGCCAGAGACCGAUAGCGCACAAGUAGAGUGAUCGAAAGAUGAAAAGCACUUUGGAAAGAGAGUUAAACAGUACGUGAAAUUGUUGAAAGGGAAGCGCUUGCAAUCAGACUUGCGCGGCGCCGAUCAGCCUGGGUUCUCCCUGGUGCACUCGGUGCCGCUCAGGCCAGCAUCAGUUUCGGCGGUUGGAUAAAGGCUCAGGGAACGUGGGACGCCUCGGCGUCCGUUAUAGCCCUGGGUGCAAUGCAGCCUGCUGGGACUGAGGACCGCGCUUCGGCUAGGAUGCUGGCGUAAUGGUUGUAAGCGACCCGUCUUGAAACACGGACCAAGGAGUCUAACAUCUAUGCGAGUAUUUGGGUAUUAAACCCAUAUGCGUAAUGAAAGUGAACGGAGGUGAGAACCCUUAAGGGUGCAUCAUCGACCGAUCCUGAUGUCUUCGGAUGGAUUUGAGUAAGAGCAUAGCUGUUGGGACCCGAAAGAUGGUGAACUAUGCUUGGAUAGGGUGAAGCCAGAGGAAACUCUGGUGGAGGCUCGCAGAGGUUCUGACGUAAACCGGUCGGUUUGUGCGUCAAACAGCAGGCUGCCGAGUCUGCUAGUAGGCGCGUUACAGCGCUUGCGACACUGUCAAACUGCUGGAAACCCGGUGUCGACUUCAAAAGUUGACGCUGGAGAUCUGCAGCGAAUGAGAGCCUCUACAGGGCAUCUCUUGCGUUCAGAGACUAGAUGACAGUGGGCUCCCCCGGCAAUUGGGGGGGGGGCUUGAGAUAUAGUCCGUCUGCUGCCGCCAGGUUGCAGAGCCAACGGCAAAUCGAUCUUCAAAUCUGAGUAUAGGGCGAAAGACUAAUCGAUCCAUCUGGGGC